UGCGGAAGGAUCAUUAAUGAAAUGAAUGUCAAAAAGGGGUUGUAGCUGGCCUCUUGGGGCAUGUGCACACCUUGAUUUGGUAUCCAGUUUUCACACCUGUGCACUUAUAUGUAGCUUGGGAUGAUUACGAUAUUGRAARCSGAUAUUGAAAGCCUUAGCUAUGAAUUUUUACACACAUGUAUAUGAAGUUAUAGAAUGGAUAAAGUUAUAGCAUGUAACAGUGCUUGAUAUAUACAACUUUCAGCAACGGAUCUCUUGGCUCUCGCAUCGAUGAAGAACGCAGCGAAAUGCGAUAAGUAAUGUGAAUUGCAGAAUUCAGUGAAUCAUCGAAUCUUUGAACGCACCUUGCGCUCCUUGGUAUUCCUUGGAGCAUGCCUGUUUGAGUGUCAUGAAACAAUCGACUGCUUUUAUUAUUUUAUAUAGUAGAAGUGAAGUUGGAGUUGGAGGAUAAUUGGUGGCGCGACUUAGGUUGCUUGUCAGCUCCUCUUGAAUUGAUAGCUUUUCUGAUAGAUCAUAGCUGGGAAAGGCUAAUGUGAUAAAUAUCUAUGUUAGUUAUAGAAAGCUGUGAGUAGAGUGGCUUCAAAUUUUGGAGUGACUCCUAUAGAAAGGUGUGUCUCGGAAAAAAAUUGAGAGGGUUAUUUCUGAGAUACAAGAGAUAUAUUAUGAUACAUCUG
rnacentral:rRNA from 1 species